rnacentral:rRNA from 1 species
UACGUAGGGGGCGAGCGUUGUCCGGAUUUAUUGGGCGUAAAGAGCUCGUAGGCGGUUUGGUAAGUUGGAUGUGAAAUCUCCAGGCUCAACUUGGAGGGGUCAUUCGAUACUGCCAUGACUAGAGUUCGGUAGGGGAGUGUGGAAUUCCUGGUGUAGCGGUGAAAUGCGCAGAUAUCAGGAGGAACACCGGUGGCGAAGGCGGGUCUCUGGGCCGAUACUGACGCUGAGGAGCGAAAGCGUGGGGAGCGAACAGG